CGGAGGGUGCAAGCGUUAUCCGGAUUCACUGGGUUUAAAGGGUGCGUAGGUGGGUUGAUAAGUCAGUGGUGAAAUCUCCGUGCUUAACAUGGAAACUGCCAUUGAUACUAUUAGUCUUGAAUUUUCUGGAGGAUAGCGGAAUAUGUCAUGUAGCGGUGAAAUGCUUAGAUAUGACAUAGAACACCAAUUGCGAAGGCAGCUAUCUACAGGGAUAUUGACACUGAGGCACGAAAGCGUGGGGAUCAAACAGGAUUAGAUACCCUGGUAGUCCACGCCCUAAACGAUGGAUACUCGACAUUUGUGAUACACAAUAAGUGUCUGAGCGAAAGCAUUAAGUAUCCCACCUGGGAAGUACGACCGCAAGGUUG
rnacentral:rRNA from 1 species